GGUUGAAACUCAAAGGAAAUUGACCGGGGCCCCCGCACAAGCGUUGGAUGAUGUGGUUUAAUUCCAGGCAACGCGAAAAACCUUACCUACCUUUGACAUGUACGGAACUCGCCAGAGACGGCUUGGUGCUCGAAAGAGAGCGGUAACACAGGUGCUGCAUGGCUGUCGUCAGCUCGUGUCGUGAGAUGUUGGGUUAAGUCCCGCAACGAGCGCAACCCUUGUCAUUAGUUGCUACAUUUAGUUGGGCACUCUAAUGAGACUGCCGGUGACAAACCGGAGGAAGGUGGGGAUGACGUCAAGUCCUCAUGGCCCUUAUAGGUAGGGCUACACACGUCAUACAAUGGAUGGUACAAAGGGUCGCCAACCCGCGAGGGGGAGCCAAUCCCAUAAACGCCAUUCGUAGUCCGGAUCGCAGUCUGCAACUCGACUGCGUGAAGUCGGAAUCGCUAGUAAUCGUGGAUCAGAAUGUCACGGUGAAUACGUUCCCGGGUCUUGUACACACCGCC
rnacentral:rRNA from 1 species